CCUACGGGUGGCUGCAGUGGGGAAUAUUGGACAAUGGGGGGAACCCUGAUCCAGCCAUGCCGCGUGUGUGAAGAAGGCCCUCGGGUUGUAAAGCACUUUCAGUGAGGAAGAACGCCUGGUGGUUAAUACCCAUCAGGAAAGACAUCACUCACAGAAGAAGCACCGGCUAACUCCGUGCCAGCAGCCGCGGUAAUACGGAGGGUGCGAGCGUUAAUCGGAAUUACUGGGCGUAAAGCGCGCGUAGGUGGCUUGAUAAGCCGGUUGUGAAAGCCCCGGGCUCAACCUGGGAACGGCAUCCGGAACUGUCAAGCUAGAGUGCAGGAGAGGAAGGUAGAAUUCCCGGUGUAGCGGUGAAAUGCGUAGAGAUCGGGAGGAAUACCAGUGGCGAAGGCGGCCUUCUGGACUGACACUGACACUGAGGUGCGAAAGCGUGGGUAGCAAACAGGAUUAGAUACCCGGUAGUC
rnacentral:rRNA from 1 species